rnacentral:tRNA from 1 species
CAAGGGGUAGUUUAAAGUAGUAAUUAUGGCUUUGGGAGCCAUAGGUAGGAGUUAAAGUCUUCUCCCUUUGA